GUCUGAGAGAGCUGCUGGUGAGUCCUGCAGAUGCUUCGAGCUUGAAUCCAUUGGUCUGUGUGGCACGUAGUGCAACCCUGGAGAGGCGUGCGGAGAGGGAGAAUGAGAUCGAGACAGAUCCUGUGGGCACGCGUGGUAUGUGCGGAGGGCUUUUCUCACACAGCCUGCACUGAUGGGUCCCAAUCAAAGCUCCUCCUGCUCUGUCCCUCUCGCUUCUCCGCUGCCCAGCACCUCCCUUCCCUCCAGGCCUCCAGCACCUGUGCCUUCUGACCCCUCCCUCAAGGUCACUCCCUCCCACUUCCUAGUAAACCUCCUCAUUGGAGGGAUGGCCACAUGUCUUUCUGAUCAUGGGUUUGUUGCUGGGUGUGGAAAUUCCCCUUAAAAAUAUAUGCAGUUGGUGCUUUGAGCAAUGGGAUGCACAAAGUCACACAGGGCUGCCCUCCAGAGCCACAAGUUUCCGGGUGCAGCAUGAGUGGCCCUGGAGUGCCCUCGCCCCUGCCUGCCCCCUGCUCCUGGCCAGGCAGUAGCUCCUGGCUUCUUGCUGCUCCCUCGCUCCUGAUCCUGAUGGUUCCGUCAAUGCUCGGGGGAGGUGGGAGGGGUGGCUUGUGCUGUCCCGUAUCCCCUGGAGAGAGUUAUGUAAGCAUGUCAGUCGGUCUCUGUGGAAAAGCCCGGACAUCCAGAUGACACCGAGCAGUUUCAGGACAUAGAAAACCCUCUGAGGCUCCAGAGAGGUGAAACAUGGAAAUGCCUCUAAGCAGUGACUCCAUCUCUCUGUGCCAGGAGGAGUCACCAGAUGCAUUCCUGCCCAGCUGUCUCCUCUAGCUUUGCAGUUCCAGGGCUGAACCGAGGCAGCCACCACCCACCACACGGUGACUCCAUGUUUCAAAGAGCCCAGAUUUGGCAGAAGGAAGCUUGGCUUGAGGCCCCAUUUGCCAGGUGACUGCGGAUAAGUCCCUCCAUAACCCACAAAGUGGGAAAAGUGCCCAUUACAUCAUUAUGCAAAGACAAUAUUCAUGAAAGCACUUUAUGAAGUGUGAAAGUAC
rnacentral:lncRNA from 10 species